rnacentral:misc_RNA from 1 species
UCCGGUAGAAGCGCAGACGUCAUAGCCGGGUAGAAUGCGGGAAAGUUCUUCUCGUGAAACGAUCAUCCCAUCAGGAAUCUCUUUUUCUGGGUCAGCCAGGUGAUUGCGAUCAAAACUUAGGAUAUCGUUGGCCUUAAGAGCAAGACCCAUCACCAGCCGACUACCGGAGAUUUUCUGUGUCGUGGGCAUCAG